rnacentral:rRNA from 1 species
AUGGCCUCCUGGCGCUCCGAAGCUCUCUUGGACGUACUGUCACAGGAGCAGACGAGGUACAUCGGCGGCUCUGCUCCGGGCGUGCUCCAAAGCUCUCUUCGACGUACUGUCACAGGAGCAAACAAAGGAGAUUGCCGGCACCCCCCCGGCGGCCCUCCGCCGCCACGACCACGAAGCCGGCGCGCGUGCGCGGGCGUAGCCGGUAGCGAGGAAGAGUAG